ACACACACGCUACAAUGGGUGGUACAGUAGGUAGCGAAGGAGCGAUCCGGAGCAAAUCCUUAAAACCAUCCUCAGUACGGAUUGCAGGCUGAAACCCGCCUGCAUGAAGCCGGAGUUGCUAGUAACCGCAUAUCAGCAUGGUGCGGUGAUACGUUCUCGGGCCUU
rnacentral:rRNA from 1 species